AGAUUGAACGCUGGCGGCAUGCCUUACACAUGCAAGUCGAACGGCAGCACGGGAGCAAUCCUGGUGGCGAGUGGCGAACGGGUGAGUAAUACAUCGGAACGUGCCCAAUCGUGGGGGAUAACGCAGCGAAAGCUGUGCUAAUACCGCAUAAGAUCUACGGAUGAAAGCAGGGGAUCGCAAGACCUUGCGCGAAUGGAGCGGCCGAUGGCAGAUUAGGUAGUUGGUGAGGUAAAGGCUCACCAAGCCUUCGAUCUGUAGCUGGUCUGAGAGGACGACCAGCCACACUGGGACUGAGACACGGCCCAGACUCUACGGGAGGCAGCAGUGGGAAUUUGGACAAGUGGGCGAAAGCCUGACUCCAGCCA
rnacentral:rRNA from 1 species